CUACGGGUGGCUCCAGUAAGGAAUAUUGCGCAAUGGAGGCAACUCUGACGCAGCCAUGCCGCGUGCAGGAAGAAGGCCUUAUGGGUCGUAAACUGCUUUUAUUUAGGAAUAAACCCCCGAACGUGUUCGGGGCUGAAGGUACUAAACGAAUAAGCACCGGCUAACUCCGGCCAGCAGCCGCGGUAAUACGGAGGGUGCAAGCGUUAUCCGGAUUUAUUGGGUUUAAAGGGUGCGCAGGCGGGCUAUUAAGUCAGUGGUGAAAUCCCGGGGCUCAACUCCGGAACUGCCAUUGAUACUGAUAGUCUUGAGUUUGGUUGAAGUGGGCGGAAUGUAGCAUGUAGCGGUGAAAUGCAUAGAUAUGCUACAGAACACCAAUCGCGAAGGCAGCUCACUAAGCCAAAACUGACGCUCAUGCACGAAAGCGUGGGGAUCAAACAGGAUUAGAUACCCUCGUAGUC
rnacentral:rRNA from 1 species